UUACGGCUAUACCACGUUAAAAUACCGGUUCCUGUACGAUCAUCGAGGUUAAGCAACGUCAAGCCUGGUCAGUACCUAGAUGGGUGAGUGCUUGGGAAUACCAGGUGCUGUAGG